CCAUGGUUUAGCAGAUUUGAAUGGCAGGCAGCCUGAAUGAGGACUGUGCCGUUCUGCGGGGACAUUUUGCAUCUCACCGGACCAGGACCAGCUCGGCUGCACCGUCCUGACGCCGAUCCGCAACAGGCCAGAGCCCAGGGCACGGCAACGGGGCUGCACAGCGGGCUGCAGCGCGGUUACUCAGACUUUCCACCAGUUCAGAUGGGAAACGAGACGUGGCAGCAGCAAGAAGAGUUGGCCUUCCCCGCAUCCCUUCUGCAUUUGCACUUGCCUCGCUCAAAAACGCUUUUCUGUUCCUCUCUGAAGUCACAGAACCGCUGGCAGGGAAAGAUGCUCGGGACAGAAACGAGACCAAAACUUGGGUAAGAGACUGCUCGCCCACUGCCGCCUCCUCAGCUAGGGAGCUCGCUACAGGGACCUGCCUCCCAGACUGAACCAACCCGGGGAAGGAGGAAAUAGGGCUGCAAGAUCUGGAGAAGCAGAGAACAUUCCAGUGUCGCUCCCCAGUUUUAAACACUGCAGCUGCUGCUGGCCACCAGUGGCCACGUUCCUAGCUCCUGGCCUUCACCGGAUGAGUCUCAUUUAUAAAAUCUCAUUUAUAAAACCUAUAUGCCA